UCUAAUUGUAUGGGGCGAUAUACAGCAC
rnacentral:sRNA from 1 species